AGUUUGAUCAUGGCUCAGGAUGAACGCUAGCGGCAGGCUUAGCACAUGCAAGUCGAACGGUAACAGAAAAAGCUUGCUUUUUGCUGACGAGUGGCGAACGGGUGCGUAACGCGUAUGCAACCUACCUUCUUCUAAGGAAUAGCCCAGAGAAAUUUGGAUUAAUACCUUAUGAUAAUAUUUAUUCGCAUGUUUAAAUAUUUAAAACUCCGGUGGAAGAAGAUGGGCAUGCGUAACAUUAGUUUGUUGGUGAGGUAAUGGCUCACCAAGACUACGAUGUUUAGGGGGUCUGAGAGGAUGAUCCCCCACACUGGUACUGAGACACGGACCAGACUCCUACGGGAGGCAGCAGUGAGGAAUAUUGGUCAAUGGACGAAAGUCUGAACCAGCCAUGCCGCGUGAAGGAUGACGGCCCUACGGGUUGUAAACUUCUUUUGUAUAGGAAGAAACCCCUCUACGUGUAGAGGGCUGACGGUACUAUUCGAAUAAGCACCGGCUAACUCCGUGCCAGCAGCCGCGGUAAUACGGAGGGUGCGAGCGUUAUCCGGAAUUAUUGGGUUUAAAGGGUGCGUAGGCGGAAAUUUAAGUCAGUGGUGAAAGCCUGCAGCUUAACUGUAGAAUUGCCAUUGAUACUGGAUUUCUUGAAUCUAAUAGAAGUAGGCGGAAUAUGACAUGUAGCGGUGAAAUGCUUAGAUAUGUCAUAGAACACCGAUAGCGAAGGCAGCUUACUAUGUUAGUAUUGACGCUAAUGCACGAAAGCGUGGGGAGCGAACAGGAUUAGAUACCCUGGUAGUCCACGCCGUAAACGAUGAUUACUCGCUAUUGGCGAUACACUGUCAGUGGCUAAGCGAAAGUGAUAAGUAAUC
rnacentral:rRNA from 1 species